GCGGACGUGGCGGAACUGGUAUACGCGUUGGACUUAAAAUCCAAUGGCUUUAUAGCUAUGAGGGUUCAAGUCCCUCCGUCCGCACCA
rnacentral:tRNA from 2 species